UGGGGAAUAUUGCACAAUGGGCGCAAGCCUGAUGCAGCCAUGCCGCGUGUGUGAAGAAGGCCUUCGGGUUGUAAAGAACUUUCAGCGGGGAGGAAGGCGAUAAGGUUAAUAACCUUGUCGAUUGACGUUACCCGCAGAAGAAGCACCGGCUAACUCCGUGCCAGCAGCCGCGGUAAUACGGAGGGUGCAAGCGUUAAUCGGAAUUACUGGGCGUAAAGCGCACGCAGGCGGUCUGUCAAGUCGGAUGUGAAAUCCCCGGGCUCAACCUGGGAACUGCAUUCGAAACUGGCAGGCUAGAGUCUUGUAGAGGGGGGUAGAAUUCCAGGUGUAGCGGUGAAAUGCGUAGAGAUCUGGAGGAAUACCGGUGGCGAAGGCGGCCCCCUGGACGAAGACUGACGCUCAGGUGCGAAAGCGUGGGGAGCAAACAGG
rnacentral:rRNA from 1 species